rnacentral:rRNA from 1 species
GACCUUCGGGAGCUUAACAGGUGCUGCAUGGCUGUCGUCAGCUCGUGUCGUGAGAUGUUCGGUUAAGUCCGCUAACGAGCGCAACCCUCGCUGUGUGUUACAAGUGUCACACGGAACUGCCGGUCAUAAACCGGAGGAAGGUGGGGAUGACGUCAAGUCAGCAUGGCCUUUAUAUCCUGGGCUACACACACGCUACAAUGGGAAGGGACAAUAGGUAGCGAAGCUGCGAGGUGGAGCCAAUCCAGCAAACUUCCCUCAGUUCAGAUUGCAGGCUGCAACUCGCCUGCAUGAAGUUGGAGUUGCUAGUAACCGCAGGUCAGCUAUACUGCGGUGAAUACGUUCCCGGGGCUU